rnacentral:tRNA from 1 species
CGGGGUUUAGCGCAGUUGGUAGCGCGCUGCGCUGGGGGUGCAGAGGUCAUCGGUUCGAAUCCGGUAACCCCGACCA